AUACUUACUUGGCAGGGGAGACACCAUGAUCACGAAGGUGGUUUUCCCAGGGUGAGGCUCUUCCAUUGUACUCCGGAUGUGCUAACCCCUGCAAUUUCCCCAAAUGCGGGAAACUUGACUGCAUAAUUUGUGGUACCUAUAGUUAAGGGGCUGGGCUGUGGC
ensembl:snRNA U1 U1 spliceosomal RNA